ensembl:lncRNA
CUUUUCUCUUGGAAAUCUGCUUGCUCACAUAUUACAGAAAUAUCUUUCAGAUCUUGGGCUGAAAGGUGGAUAACGGAUACAAUGUUUAAAUUUAGCAGUGUCAUUUAUGGCUGUUCAUAUGAGCUUUGCUGCAUAAAAUGUUGAUAUUAAUUUGUUUCCCUUUAAAACAUUCUUAAUAUUUACCUUUCAGUAUUUUCUUUGUAAUCAAUUAAUAUAAAAUGAAUAUAGUUUAUAGGUUUUACCUUUUUAAAUUUGUUUUACACAAAACACAUAACAUCUAACCCUUGUUAUUUAAAGAUCAACUAGUAGGAGGUGAUGGGAACUCAGUUUAGGAUCACCUUCUUUACACGUUAGUUCUAUUUCCGUGAGGAUAUAUUAAACUACUGGGGAAUCAAGCUACAAAAAUGCUUCUUGGGGAGAAUGUCUUUUUUUUUUUUUAAUACGAAUACUCAACCCUGAAGUUAUGUUUUUGUGGAAAGUUAUCACUUUGGAAUUUGAAUUUUCUUGGAGCUAAGCCACCGGUGGUUGUAAAAGCAACACCUGUAAAUUUGCUCCCUAGAAGAUACUUUUGUUUAGUAACUGCUUGUUUCUCUGUGGAUAAAUUCAAUUAUAAAUUACAAUCGAAUUGACUUUUUCAUAGCAUCCUUCACUCUCCAAGUAUCUUAAGUCCUCUGUGGAUUGUAAAGUAAUUACAGUGCUCAAAGGACAGUUUCAUAAUUGUGUCCAUGAGCACAGACUUUCCUCUAUGUUUGAGAAGGGCUCAUUCCCAGCCGGGAACAUUAAGUUGGAUUUUAUUGAGACUGUGGACUGCUGGUCCAGACAGCUGGGUGAUCCCCUGUGCUAUUUUGAAAAGUAUCCUGGGAUCUUUAAUUUCCACCUGGAUGGUCAGAGAGGUGAGAGAACGGCCCUCCCUGGGUGUGACCUUGUAUCCCACUUGGGGUCUUGAACCAGGGGACCCCCAACCCCAGAGGGCAUGUCACUGGUGGUAUACUUCACAGUUAUCAAAUACUGAGACUAGAUCAUGAAGGAACUAGAGGAUGAAUGGACAUUACCCCCGGUUGCUGGUCUUGGAUAUAGAUGCUGUAACCGUCAUCCUUCAGGUUGUCCAACUUCUGGAGUGAGUAUGAUUUUUAUUUUAUGUUGAAGAAUUGCACUGUGUUAAGUAGGAAGUGGUUUUGAUCCUUCAAAAUUAAAUUUUGCUAGGAAGAGCAAAAUUGAUGUAAGAAAGCCAGAGAACUGGACUCUAAGAGACAGUAUUUUUAUCCACUCAAUGUCUGCAAGCCCUUUCUACCUUUGGGAGAUUCUCUGCUAUAUCAGUCAAGGUGGGAGGCAGCAAUCCCCUCCAGCUAUAUAAAUGGAAGUGACAGAGUUUGUUUUCCCAGCCUCUCUUUCAUGGAGGGUGGUGUGCUGUCAUAUGACUUUGGCUCUGCCAGUCAGACACGUCCAUGUCAUGCAUUGAUUCAGGAAUGAGUGAUGCAAGGAAGGAGAGGCUUUCUUGGGAUUUAUUUUGGUAAGAAUGUCAACUGCUGCAGUAGUUAAAUCAUUUCCAGAAGCAGCAUCUGUAGCUUUUACAUCAGUGCAGGUGGUGUGGUCCUAUACUGAAUGAGAUGUUCUGUGGUUUGAGUAUCUAUUUACCUUGUAGCCUCUUAUUAUUGCUCCUCAGACCAUGAAAACCUUUUGAUAGCUUUGUUCAUUUAUUUGCUUAAAUUAGAGGAAAUUGGUUUGUUUUGCUUGCAACUAAGAACCUGUUUCAUAGAUACCAACAGGCAGCUCUUGAUAGUCCUCUGCUAUAUUAUAGUAGGAAACUAGCGUUACUGCUACAGAGAAUUCAUUUCUGUGUUGAUUAAUUGUCAUGUGUGUGUGUGUGUUUUUUUUUUUUACCAAGUAAGUUAGCAAACAAUUCUCAAGAAAAAGCACAGAACUUUCUUGUUACGUUGGAAGUUAAAAAUCCAGGUCCCUAGCGUCCAUCUCACAUUUGGCUAUUGGCUUUAUUUUUAAUGCCAGUGUUUUCAAAGUAGGAGA